UAACAGUCUGUGUUACAGGGGAGUAUAUCUCUUCUGCAGGGGGAGUAGUUCUAUUUUGCAAGGAGAGUUCUUGUUAAACAUGGAUUCUGACCAAUCUAUGCCAAAGGGGGAGAUUGUUGGCGCCAGAUUUCCGACUAUUGAAGAUCGAGGAAAUCCGCCAAGUUUUGGAAUUAAAAGAUUGGCAAAGAUUUAUUUUCCAUGUUUAUUUUGGAAUUUAUUAGAGUCCUAUUUUAUAAUACUUCUAUUAGGACUUAGAUUUAUUUCC
rnacentral:lncRNA from 1 species